UGGGUGGUAAAAAGAAAUGGUAACUUACUCUUUUACUAAAAUAAUUCAACCAGUCCUUAAACAAAGCCAAACUCGAUUCAUUGUCAUCUAACAGAAGCAAGCAGGGAGCCAGACAUCACAAUCAAGCCUCUAAAAUGAAGAUAAUGGUGGCUAUAAAACGAGUUGUCGACUACGCCGUGAAGAUCUGGGUGAAACCCGAUGACGUAUUUAUCAAUAAAUUAAAUAAUUUAUUCAAAAAUUAUUAUUUUUUUUUAAAUUUGGGUUGGGUUUGCAAUACACACCGGAGUUGAGAGCAACAACGUCAAGAUGUCAAUGAACCCAUUUUGCGAGAUAGCGUUGGAGGAAGCUUUCAGGAUCAAGGAAUCAGGGUUAGCCUCCGAGGUUGUCGCUGUCAGUAUGCGUCCUUCAGAGUGCGUGGAUACUCUGCGGACGGGUCUAGCCAUGGGAGCUGAUAGAGGGAUUCAUGUUGAGGCCACCUCUGUGCUGUAUCCAUUGACCGUCGCCAAGAUCCUGAAGAUUCUUGUUGAGGUUGAGAAGCUCGGUUUGCUUUUUCUGGGAAAGCAGAUUGUUGUGUAGCCAAUUGAUGAUGAUUGCUAUCAAACAGGACAAAUGGUUGUAGGGUUGCUCGGCUGGCCACAGGCUACCUUUGCUUCUAAGUAGGUUGUUGUGGACAAGGAGAAACAAGAAGCAACUGUGGAUAGAGAAGUAGAUGGUGGUCUUGAGACACUAUCAUUAGACUUACCUACAGGUAAGUGUUGUGCAAUUUGAGACUUCUAAUAUUCAAUACUAUGAAGUUCUUGAAGUCUUAAAAGCACCUCAACAUGUAGAGAAAUUGAAUAUAGAAUACUGAGAAAUCAAGAUGGCAAAAACGAUAGUAUGGUUCAUGUUCUUAGACCCGGAUUAGAUUGGUUGGUUCAACCAAUCCAACCAAUAUCCGUGGUCUUACUUGAUUUAGGAAAGACCAAUUUUUGUUUUUGCGGUUAUAUCACUUUGACCCACAAUUGAACAACCUAAAUCGUCUUAAUUUGUGAUUCAACCGGCUAGUUCAAAGCAGCCAAACUAUUUGAUAAUGUUAGUAUGAUGUCAUGCUAAUGUUAUUGUAAU